UUGUGAAUUAAACUGAAGAACUUGCUGAAAACAUUUUGAUCAUAAUGAAGAGACUCUUGAAAUGCUUGAUUAAGUGCAUUCUAAAGAAUUUCCCUAACGUGGAUGGCAGUGAGAUGGAGUCUCACUGUGUUGCCCAGGCUGGUCUCAAACUCCUGGGCUCAAGCAAUCCUCCCGCCUCAGGCUCUCAAAGAGCUGGGAUUACAGACGGGGUCUCUCUCUGUCGCCCAGACUGGAGUGCAAUGGCGUGAUCUUGGCUCACUGCAACCUCUACCUCCUGAGUUCAAGUGAUUCUCCUGCCACAGCCUCCUGAGUAGCUGGGAUUACAGGUGCCCGCCACCACACCCAGCUGGAAAACCUAACUUUCCACACCUAAGUAACAAAAGGACCAGAGGCUUUUUGUUUCCCUUUGCAAACCCCCACCUUUUCUGUGGGGCAGAUGGGAAAUUGAAAAUACCUCUUUUUUUGCAUAGAAUUGUAACUUUGUAACUUCCCUUCAGCCUCUGACUGCCGGCCAAGUCUUUGUUUGCACAGAAGUGCAACUACUCUGAUUGUGGGCCACCACUUCAUUUACAUAAGUUGAACACCAAGUGGCCAAUGGGAAACCUCUAGGGAGUAUUUGUAUGCAAGAAGAUUCUGUGUCGGGGCCCAUGAGCAGCUGCUUCAGCCCACUCCUACCCUGUGGUGUGUAAUUUCGUUUUCAAUAAAUCUCUGCUUUCCUUGCUUCAUUCUUUCCUUGCUUUGUCCAAUUCUUUGUUCAAAAUGCCAAGAACCUGGACACCCUCCACUGGUAACAGAGCAGAAUAGAGAACCCAGAAAUAAAACUGCACACCUACAGCCAUCUGACCUUUGAAAAACCUGUGGGUUUUAUCCAAUUCUUUGUUCAAAAUGCCAAGAACCUGGACACCCUCCACCGGUAACAACAGGUACUGGGGCUUAAGACUUCAAUAUAUCCUUCUGAGGACAUAAUUCAACACAUAACCCUUUCACAAAGAAAAUGACAAGAAUUUAAGAUAGAAUAAGAAUGUUAGAAUAGAAAUGGUCUUAACAGUUUUCUACAAUAACCACCUACUUGUAUUUUUGAAGAAACAGGCAUGGAGUGAUUAGGAGAUUUACCCAUGGUCACACACAGAUAAAAAAGGACAGAGCUGGAAUUGGAAAUUGGUAGUGACAGGGAAAUUUACAAAUCAUGCAAAUACAUUUCUGGUUAAACACCUAAAACAGUCAAGGCUGGCCCUCGGAAAAAAGUGGGAAUUAGGCAGCUUAUCUGAGUCUUUCUCAUCUCCCUUCAUUUAUUUCUGCUUUCUUCCCUGUUGGAACCUCCUUGGCCUCACUCUCUCCUCUAGGAGCAGGUGGCAUAUACUGAGCGCUUCCUAUGUGCUGGACAUUGUGCUAAGUCUUCCUCAUUUAAUUCUCAUAACAUAGUGGUAAACACUAUUAUGAUCCCAUUUUACGAAUGAGGAAACUGGACUUCAGAUAUUAUGAUUCUGUUUUAUAAAUGAGGAAACUGGACUGAGAUGCAAACACAGGCAGAGCUCACAUUUGUCUUAAAAAUUAUUGUAUACAUCUAAAAGGUACAAAUGUAGUUUUGUUCUAUGGAUGUAUUGCACAGUCUGAAAUCUAGGCUUUUAGUGUAUCCAUGACUCAAAUA
rnacentral:lncRNA from 1 species